UACGUAGGGGGCAAGCGUUGUCCGGAUUUAUUGGGCGUAAAGAGCUCGUAGGCGGCUUGUCACGUCGGUUGUGAAAGCCCGGGGCUUAACCCCAGGUCUGCAGUCGAUACGGGCAGGCUAGAGUGUGGUAGGGGAGAUCGGAAUUCCUGGUGUAGCGGUGAAAUGCGCAGAUAUCAGGAGGAACACCGGUGGCGAAGGCGAAUCUCUGGGCCAUUACUGACGCUGAGGAGCGAAAGCGUGGGGAGCGAACAGG
rnacentral:rRNA from 1 species